CUCCAGGCCCCACCAGAGUUGGGACUAAAUGAGGGCUCAAAGCCAGAUAUUUCAGAAUCGUGCUGUUGUCUUGCUGGCAAAUUCUGUCUGAGUUCUGGGAAGCAGGGCUUAUCCUUGAGGGCACACCGCCCCCUGCUGGCCAAGAUGGGUUUUUCCUCCCCAGCUUAGACCAGGAGAGGAGGCAGGACGGCUGGCGACUGAGGGGGGCUGCCUCUGGAGUCUGGGUUUGAUCUCACGUAUACCAUUGACUCCUAUGUGACCUCAGAACUCUUGAUGGCCUGCUUCCCAUCCUCCAUCCUGGAAGACUGAUCUGAAACCCCAGGAGGAGGUCCUCUGAGCCCUGAGGCAGAGAUCUCUCACCUGGAAGAUGGGUCUAAUGACUGCGCCCCACACACACCAGAGAGGACUGCAGAUAGUGCGGGAUGAGAGGAAGAUCUCUGGCCCUGGAGACAGCAUCAUCAAGCGAAAACGUAUGAGGAAGAAAAUAGCAGAUGAGAAGAAUCAACCAAAUUCCGGAAGCUGGAAGGCAGAUGCAAGAAGGCCCUUGAAUGAUGCCAGCACCUUGAUAUUGGACUUUCCAGCCUCCAGAACCAUGAGCCAAUACAUUUCUGUUCCAUAAAAAUUACCCAGUUCCAGGUAUUCUGCUAUAGCAGCACAAAAUGGACUAAAACAAUGUUGGCACAAGACUCAGUGCUGGGCCUGGCAUGCAACAGGUCCUUGGAGUGGCGUGCUGUGUGGAUAAUGAAUAUUGGGGAAGGCAUCUCUCUCCAGCCCCUCUCAAGCUUUCUGUAGUCACUGGUCCACUCUGUAUUGCUAUGAAGAAGCUCAAGACCAGCCUGUAUCACUCGGGGUCCUGGCAGGAACCAGGUGCCACACUCAAACUGAGUAAUUGAAGAGGGUUUAAUAUGGGAGUUAUUUACAUAGGUGUGGGCUGGUGUAGCUGCCCAUAUGCCCUCAAAAUCACCUCUACAUGGCAAUAGCUACUUACUGCUAACAGAGUCUCUCUCUCAUUGCUGCAAAUAUUUUCUAGCCAUGCAAGAAACUCAGCCGGUCAUGUUGAACAAACUAAGAGUGCCAGGAAGUUAAUGUCCUGGAAGCAUUGCCAGAGGGGAGGGGGCAGUUAGAUUCCCCAGCUUCCUCGCUCCUCUGCUGGGUUAAGCCUGCAACAUAUUCAUCAUCUCCCAGAGUGCUGCCCAGGGAUAGAGCUCCAGGUGCUCAGUGUGGUGACCUGCUCAUGUCAGCUUCUUCCCCUUUCCUGUCUUGUUUCGCACCCACAUCCUUCCCAUGUUUCCUCUUCCCAAAUAAACUACUUGCAUUGAAA
rnacentral:lncRNA from 1 species